rnacentral:rRNA from 1 species
UACAGAGGGGGCAAGCGUUGUUCGGAAUUACUGGGCGUAAAGGGCGCGUAGGCGGCCUGUUAAGUCGAACGUGAAAUCCCCGGGCUCAACCCGGGAACUGCGUCCGAUACUGGCAGGCUUGAAUCCGGGAGAGGGAUGCGGAAUUCCAGGUGUAGCGGUGAAAUGCGUAGAUAUCUGGAGGAAUACCGGUGGCGAAGGCGGGUCGUGCUGGGCCG